rnacentral:rRNA from 1 species
GAUGAACGCUGGCGGCGUGCCUAAUACAUGCAAGUCGAGCGAACAGAUAAGGAGCUUGCUCCUUUGACGUUAGCGGCGGACGGGUGAGUAACACGUGGGUAACCUACCUAUAAGACUGGGAUAACUUCGGGAAACCGGAGCUAAUACCGGAUAACAUUUGGAACCGCAUGGUUCUAAAGUGAAAGAUGGUUUUGCUAUCACUUAUAGAUGGACCCGCGCCGUAUUAGCUAGUUGGUAAGGUAACGGCUUACCAAGGCAACGAUACGUAGCCGACCUGAGAGGGUGAUCGGCCACACUGGAACUGAGACACGGUCCAGACUCCUACGGGAGGCAGCAGUAGGGAAUCUUCCGCAAUGGGCGAAAGCCUGACGGAGCAACGCCGCGUGAGUGAUGAAGGGUUUCGGCUCGUAAAACUCUGUUAUUAGGGAAGAACAAACGUGUAAGUAACUGUGCACGUCUUGACGGUACCUAAUCAGAAAGCCGCGGCUAACUACGUG